AGAGUUUGAUCUUGGCUCAGGAUGAACGCUGGCGGCGUGCCUAAUACAUGCAAGUAGAACGCUGAAGCUUGGUGCUUGCACCGAGCGGAUGAGUUGCGAACGGGUGAGUAACGCGUAGGUAACCUGCCUCUUAGCGGGGGAUAACUAUUGGAAACGAUAGCUAAUACCGCAUAAAAGUCGACAUCGCAUGAUGUUGACUUGAAAGGUGCAAUUGCAUCACUAAGAGAUGGACCUGCGUUGUAUUAGCUAGUUGGUGAGGUAACGGCUCACCAAGGCGACGAUACAUAGCCGACCUGAGAGGGUGAUCGGCCACACUGGGACUGAGACACGGCCCAGACUCCUACGGGAGGCAGCAGUAGGGAAUCUUCGGCAAUGGGGGCAACCCUGACCGAGCAACGCCGCGUGAGUGAAGAAGGUUUUCGGAUCGUAAAGCUCUGUUGUAAGAGAAGAACGAGUGUGAGAGUGGAAAGUUCACACUGUGACGGUAACUUACCAGAAAGGGACGGCUAACUACGUGCCAGCAGCCGCGGUAAUACGUAGGUCCCGAGCGUUAUCCGGAUUUAUUGGGCGUAAAGCGAGCGCAGGCGGUUAGAUAAGUCUGAAGUUAAAGGCUGUGGCUUAACCAUAGUACGCUUUGGAAACUGUUUAACUUGAGUGCAGAAGGGGAGAGUGGAAUUCCAUGUGUAGCGGUGAAAUGCGUAGAUAUAUGGAGGAACACCGGUGGCGAAAGCGGCUCUCUGGUCUGUAACUGACGCUGAGGCUCGAAAGCGUGGGGAGCAAACAAAAUUAGAUCCCCUGGUAGUCCCCGCCGUAAAC
rnacentral:rRNA from 1 species